UACAGAGGUCUCAAGCGUUGUUCGGAUUCAUUGGGCGUAAAGGGUGCGUAGGCGGCGCGGUAAGUCGGGUGUGAAAUCUCGGGGCUUAACUCCGAAACUGCAUUUGAUACUGUGGUGCUUGAGGACUGGAGAGGAGACUGGAAUUUACGGUGUAGCAGUGAAAUGCGUAGAGAUCGUAAGGAAGACCAGUGGCGAAGGCGGGUCUCUGGACAGUUCCUGACACUGAGGCACGAAGGCCAGGGGAGCAAACGGG
rnacentral:rRNA from 1 species